GCAAAAAUGUUUUAACACUUUUUAAUAAACUAAUGAAACAUAUGAGGUUGAAACUUAAAUAUCCAUCCAUUAUCUUUUUCUUAUCCAGGGUUGGGUGACGAGGGCAGCAGCCAAAUUAAGAAGUCUAGGAGAGGGAAACAUUCAAAGUCUCUCUCUCCCCAGUCACUUGGGCCAGAUUUUCAAAGGCAUUCCCAGGCCAGCCAAUAAACAUCGACCCUCCAGCAUAACCUGGGUCUUCCUCUGGGUCUCCACCCUUUGGGAUAUGAGUGGAACACCUCACCAGGGAGACGUCAGGGAGGUAUCCUAACCAGGUUUAGUCCAUUUGAUAACUGAUGGAGGAACACUGUCAACACUGCAGGGUUGGGUGACGAGGGCAGCAGCCUAACUAAGAAGUCUAGGAGAGGGAGACAUUCAAAGUCUCUCUCUCCCCAGUCACUUGGGCCAGAUUUUCAAAGGCAUUCCCAGGCCAGCCAAUAAACAUCGACCCACCAGCAUAACCUGGGUCUUCCUCUGGGUCU